rnacentral:lncRNA from 1 species
CUCAGUUCAUAAUUGAUGCGGAACCCCUUCCAUUUAUGACUUCUACGUUGGUCUUUCUUAAAUCCUUCCUUCAUCCCAUAACCUGAUUCAUAAAUCUUACAAAAUUUCUUUAGAUUAUUAAUUUCAAGAUGCUUUGAUCAAUUAUCCCUACUGUUUGAUGACAUUUUUUUCCCCAUGGUACUGUUUCAUCCAUUCUCUCUUUUCUAUCACAGAAGAUGCGACGAGCAUGUAUAAGAACCAGCUACAACAGCACCAACAGCACCACCAACAGCAACAACAGCAACAACAACAGCAACAGCAGCAACAACAACAACAACAACAACAACAACAACAACAACCACAACAACAACAACAACAACAACAACAACAACAACAACAACAACAACAGCAGCAGCAACAACCACAACAACAACAACCACAAC